rnacentral:tRNA from 1 species
GGCUCUACAGUGUAGUGGUUAGCAUGUCUGCUUUACAUGCAAAAGGUCCUGGGUUCGCGCCCCAGGUGGAGCCA